UACGAGGGGGGGCGAGCGUUUGUUCGGAAUUACUGGGCGUAAAGAGCUCGUAGGUGGUUUGUCGCGUUGUUCGUGAAAACUCACAGCUUAACUGUGGGCGUGCGGGCGAUACGGGCAGACUUGAGUACUGCAGGGGAGACUGGAAUUCCUGGUGUAGCGGUGGAAUGCGCAGAUAUCAGGAGGAACACCGGUGGCGAAGGCGGGUCUCUGGGCAGUAACUGACGCUGAGGAGCGAAAGCGUGGGGAGCAAACAGG
rnacentral:rRNA from 1 species